GCCGGCAUGGCUCAGUGGUUAGAGCAUUGGCUUGCACACCAGAGAGUCGCAGGUACGAUUCCUGGUGAGGGCA
rfam:Myotis davidii contig283062, whole genome shotgun sequence.